UUUCGAUGAUAUCCACUCGGUACUUAUACAUCCCGUCAAUAAGUUGUUUGUUUUGUCUGUUAUUUUUGCUGGUGUGUUUAGUUCGUGCGACUUUUUGUGGGUUUUUUUUGGUACAUAUGACGUCGUUCUGUACUUUUAAACAUCCCGAGAUUAUGUUAUUGUUCUAUUUUAAUGACAUUAUGUUAUUGUUCAAUUAUAAUUUUGAAAAUACUUUGAACGACAAAACUUUUCGAUCCUCGAGUUUGACUGUCCUCUGCUAUCUUUCUAUCUUUAAAAAGUGAAAUAACAUAAAUAUCGAA
rnacentral:lncRNA from 1 species